rnacentral:rRNA from 1 species
UCCACGCCCUAAACGAUGCACACUAGUUGUUGGGAUGCUAGUCAUCUCAGUAAUGCAGUUAACACAUUAAGUGUGCCGCCUGGGGAGUACGGUCGCAAGAUUAAAACUCAAAGGAAUAGACGGGGACCCGCACAAGCGGUGGAGCAUGUGGUUUAAUUCGAAAAUACACGAAGAACCUUACCUAGCCUUGAUAUCCUUGGAAUCCUAUAGAGAUAUGGGAGUGCUAGUUUACUAGAACCAAGUGACAGGUGCUGCACGGCUGUCGUCAGCUCGUGUCGUGAGAUGUUGGGUUAAUCCCGCAACG